rnacentral:tRNA from 1 species
GGAGGUACACCUGAGAGAUAGAAUGCAUGUUUAAUAUGCAUGAGGGUCCUGGGUUCAAUCCCCAGUACCUCCA